rnacentral:rRNA from 1 species
AGCAGUAGCCACGGUAAUACGUAGGGUGCGAGCGUUAAUCGGAAUUACUGGGCGUAAAGCGUGCGCAGGCGGUUCGUUAAGACAGAUGUGAAAUCCCCGGGCUUAACCUGGGAACUGCAUUUGUGACUGGCGAGCUAGAGUAUGGCAGAGGGGGGUAGAAUUCCACGUGUAGCAGUGAAAUGCGUAGAGAUGUGGAGGAAUACCGAUGGCGAAGGCAGCCCCCUGGGCCAAUACUGACGCUCAUGCACGAAAGCGUGGGGAGCAAACAGGAUUAGAUACCCCGGUAGUCCCUGUCUCUUAUAC